rnacentral:rRNA from 1 species
GAUGAACGCUAGCGGGAGGCUUAACACAUGCAAGUCGAGGGGCAGCACGGGGUAGCAAUACUCUGGUGGCGACCGGCGCACGGGUGAGUAACACGUAUGCAACCUACCCUGUACAGGGGGGAUAACCCGGAGAAAUUCGGACUAAUAUCCCAUAACGAUAUUAAGAGGCAUCUUUUAAUAUUUAAAGCUUCGGCGGUACGGGAUGGGCAUGCGUGACAUUAGCUAGUUGGUAGGGUAACGGCCUACCAAGGCUUCGAUGUCUAGGGGGUCCUGAGAGGGUGAUCCCCCCA